GCUGGCGGUGCGCCUUAUGCAUGCAAGUUGAGCGAAGCUUUUUGGUAGUUUACUACUAGAAAUGACUGAGCGGCGAACGGGUGAGUAACGCGUGAGCAAUCUACCUUAGUUACUGGGAUAGCCCGAGGAAACUCGGAUUAAUACCGGAUAUUCUUAUUUUUUCACAUGAAGUUUUAAGGAAAGGUCAGCCGAACUAAGAUGAGCUCGCGUUCUAUCAGCUAGUUGGUGGGGUAAAAGCCUACCAAGGCUACGACGGAUAGCUGGUCUGAGAGGACGAUCAGCCACACUGGGACUGAGACACGGCCCAGACUCCUACGGGAGGCUGCAGCAGGGAAUAUUGUGCAAUGAGCGAAAGCUUGACACAGCGACACCGCGUGUGGGAUGACGGUUCUAGGAUUGUAAACCACUUUCAGGAGGGAAGAAAAUGACGGUACCUCCACAAGAAGACCCGGCCAACUAUGUGCCAGCAGCCGCGGUAAUACAUAGGGGUCAAGCGUUGUCCGGAUUUAUUGGGCGUAAAGAGCUUCGUAGGCGGUCCAACAAGCGGGUCGUAAAAAGUUUAGGGCUCAACCCCUAAAAUGUCGAUCCGGAUACUGUUGUGACUA
rnacentral:rRNA from 1 species